AGACAGGGCCUGUAUAGGUUCUGUAUUUGGAAUGAGUUGAAUUUAAACCAUUCUCCGAGUAACAAUUGGAGGGCAAGUCUGGUGCCAGCAGCCGCGGUAAUUCCAGCUCCAAUAGCGUAUAUUAAAGUUGUUGCAGUUAAAAAGCUCGUAGUUGGAUUUUUGGUUGGGGGAAGCGGUCUGUCCGCCUAGUGUGUGACAUGUACUACUCUUCCUGGCCACUAUCUCUGAAGACUGCGUCUGUCAUUAACUUGGUGGGCGUAGGAUUCAGGACGUUUACUUUGAGGAAACUAGAGUGUUCAAAGCAGGCUUUCUGCCAUUGAAUACAUUAGCAUGGAAUAAUAGAAUAGGUCUUUGAUCUUAUUCUGUUGGUCUACAGGGUCGAAGAAAUGAUUAAUAGGGAUAGUUGGGGGCAUUAGUAUUUAAUUGUCAGAGGUGAAAUUCUUGGAUUUAUGAAAGACUAACUACAGCGAAAGCAUUUGUCAAAGAUGUUUUCAUUAAUCAAGAACGAAAGUUAGGGGAUCGAAGACGAUUAGAAACCGUCCUAGUCUUAACCAUAAACUAUGCCGACUAGGGAUUGGAGGAAGUUGUAUUAGACUCCUUCAGCACCUUAUGAGAAAUCAAAGUCUUUGGGUUCUGGGGGGAGUAUGGUCGCAAGGCUGAAACUUAAAGGAAUUGACGGAAGGGCACCACCAAGAGUGGAGCCUGCGGCUUAAUUUGACCCAACACGGGAAAACUUACCAGGUCCAGACACAGGAAGGAUUGACAGAUUGACAGCUCUUUCUUGAUUCUGUGGGUGGUGGUGCAUGGCCGUUCUUAGUUGGUGGAGUGAUUUGUCUGGUUAAUUCCGAUAACGAACGAGACCUUAACCUGCUAAAUAGUUGCGUCUAACAUUUGUUAGGCAGUAGCUUCUUAGAGGGACUGUUGGUUUCUAGCCAAAGGAAGUUUGAGGCAAUAACAGGUCUGUGAUGCCCUUCGAUGUCCUGGGCUGCACGCGCGCUACACUGACGGUGUCAACGAGUUUUGUUUCCUUCGCCGAUACGCGUGGGUAAUCUUUGAAUCGCCGUCGUGAUGGGGAUAGAUUAUUGCAAUUAUUAAUCUUGAACGAGGAAUUCCUAGUAGGCGUAAGUCAUCAGCUUGCGCCGAUUUCGUCCCUGCCCUUUGUACACACCGCCCGCCGCUCCUACCGAUUGAAUGAUCCGGUGAAAUUUUCUGACUGCGCAUUGGUUACAAUGUACGGGACGUUAUUUAAACCUUAUCAUUUAGAGGAAGGAGAAGUCGUAACAAGGU
rnacentral:rRNA from 1 species